AGCUUUGUGCAGUGGCAGUAUCGUAGCCAAUGAGGUUUAUCCGAGGUACGAUUAUUGCUAAUUGAAAAAAAAAAUUAUGAAGACUUGUUUUGUGGGGGCGCCUGGGUGGCUCAUUGGAUUAAAGCCUCUGCCUUUGGCUCAGGUUA